GAUGAACGCUAGCGGCAGGCCUAACACAUGCAAGUCCAGGGAGAAGCCCUUUCGGGGGCAGAAACCGGCGCACGGGUGCGUAACGCGUAUGCAACCUACCUUUCACAGGGGGAUAGCCCGAAGAAAUUUGGAUUAAUACCCCAUAAUAUUAUUGGAUGGCAUCAUUUGAUAAUUAAAACUGCGGUGGUGAAAGAUGGGCAUGCGUCCUAUUAGCUAGUUGGAGUGGUAACGGCACCCCAAGGCUACGAUAGGUAGGGGUCCUGAGAGGGAGAUCCCCCACACUGGUACUGAGACAGGGACCAGACUCCUACGGGAGGCAGCAGUGAGGAAUAUUGGUCAAGGGUCGGAAGACUGAACCAGCCAUGCCGCGUGCAGGAAGAAUGCCUUAUGGGUUGUAAACUGCUUUUAUAUGGGAAGAAUAAGGCGUACGUGUACGUUGAUGACGGUUCCAUAUGAAUAAGCAUCGGCUAACUCCGUG
rnacentral:rRNA from 1 species